CAUUCUCUUUUCUCUACAGCCUCACCAAUAAGAGCCAUUCUGACUGGUGCGAGAUGGUAUCUCAUUGUGGGUUUGAUUUGCAUUUCUCUGAUGAUUAAUGAUGUUGAACAUUUUUUCAUAUGUUUGUUGGUUGCUUGUAUGUCUUCUUUUGAGAAAUGUCCUUGUCUUUGGCCCAUUUUUUAAAUGGGAUUUGUUUUUUGCUUUGUUGAGUUGUUUAAGUUCCUUAUAGAUUCUUGGCUGGGUGCGGUGGUUCAUACCUGUAAUCCCAGCACUUUGGGAGGCUGAGGCAGGUGGAUCACCCAUGGUCAGAAGUUCAAGACCAG
rnacentral:lncRNA from 1 species